CUAGCAAUCACAGGAGACAGAAAACGCUCGUUCUUCAGCUCCUCUCAUCAUGAUGCCUUCCAGUAUAGAUGGUCCUCUCCUCCACCAAGCACUGAAACGGUAGAAUUUCAAGUCCAUUUUUCAACUAUUAACCGUGAUAACGUCCCAUAUGCAUUCCAAAUGUCUUGCAGCAGUUCCACUCGUCCUUGGUAAUGAGAGACAAGGACAAGAUAUCAGAACAUGAAACAACUCAUUCAGCCUCAUUGUUGACUGACUCAGAUGAUGAUGUCUGUUUGGGGGAGGAGCUAGGUCUCCACAGCUGCAGUGAAUCAUUGAUUAGCCACCUGUGUUUGACGUGUGUGCGCAUGCAGCAAGCAGUUGGGGUAAACAUUCCUUUUCUUCCCUCUUUGAGAGCUUUUUCAUGGAGUUGCCGUGUGCAUGACUUUUCAUUGGUUUCAUGUUUCCACCAGAGCGAGUUCAUAUACAAUCAGGAAAUGUAACUUUUGAGCUCUAUACCUAGAGGAGACACGGACGCAAGGCGGAAUCAAGCAAGAUCAACAGCAACAACCAACCGAUGAUUCUUCUCAGAGGAAAACCACAAACCGUCCCCAGUUCACAUGGACAAACCUAGCUUCAGGACCAAGAGUAAUGUUGAGUUUGGGAGGUUCAUUAUGGCAGGAAUGCUUUACAGCACCACAGCUCAGGAAAGCUAUCUGCAGAAAUAUGUGACUCGAGUCAAGCCUCAGAUUUAUCCGUCCGGUUCGAGUGUUGGCAGAUCAAGGUGACACCAGAGCCUGGUCCAGCUGUUACUACUGUGCGAAGUGAUCAUGUUCCAGUAAACUGUAGAUGUGUUUUAAACCCUCAGAAACUGUAUGAGGUAAAACAUUUACUGUGCAAAUCACUGAACUAAGAUUUCUCAUUUGCUCGAAGAGAUUCAGCAGGAAGAGACUAUCUUUUUUUUUUUGCGUUAUGUUUCUGCUACUAAAAUUCACACGUCUUGUGUUUUUGAAUAUUUGGAAACUAAGCCAUAAGUAUAAAAUGGUUGAGAUUUUAGGACCUUUAGUAUGUCUUCUGCUGUCUUUCUAAAUUAAAAGCAGUCACAUCAGGCCUCCUAACAGUGAAUUUUACUUCACAACAACCCACACAGAACCUUUUUCGCUUAAGCCUAAAUCCAAGGUUUCUUUGCACAACCCACCAAGACGGCAUAUCGGCCACGUGGAAUUUUGAAGACAAAAAAAAAAACAACCCGAUAUAUUAUGGAGGUAUGCUCUUCCAUGUUGUUAAAUUUGUUAAAAUGCACUUGUAUCACAGUGCUGUUGAAUCCUAGCUUUUGAUUGCUAAGGAGGUAUUGAUGUUAAUCUUCUAUAAUAGCAGCGCUCAUAGUAGUUCUGGCUUUAUAUCAGGUUUAUAUUAAUGCACUCAUUCGGAUAGAACGACCUCUACGGCGGAUGCUCCUCGUUUAAACAGGUUUUUAAAAAUACGUAUAAUGAAGCUUUUUGUAAGGAGACCUUUUAUUUAGCAUUUUUGGAAGUACAAAGAUAUUUUUGGUGCAAAUACAAGACCGCUUAUCGUCCAAAGAACACCACGACCACAGUGAAGCAUGGUGGUGAUACCAUCAUGCUAUGCCACUGCUUCACUUCAACUGGGACUGGGGGUCUGGUCAAGAUAGAUGGAUUUAGAGAUAGCACUAAAUACUAAUUUCUUUUGGCACAAAACCUGUAGGCCUCUGUUAGAUAGCUGAAGAGCAAUUUAACUUCCAGCACCAAAAAAAAAAAAGCUUAAGUCAGUAGAGGAACAGUUACAGAAGAAGAUCAAAGUUUUGGAAUGGCCCAGUCAGAAGGCAGAUCGAAAUCCUAUCAAAAAACUGUGAAAUGACUUGCAAUUGUAAAAUGCCCCAAUUGUAAUGAGAUCUCCUUAGAUCUUUUAGAAAUUAUUAUUAUUUGUAUUAUUUUUUAAAUAAAAUUUCCAAAAUCAAGAUGUGUUACGCUGUUAGACUCUUACAACUAAAAGUGCUUUAGCAAAGUAUUACUUAAGGGGUUUCCACACUUAUAGAACCGGAUUAUUGAAGUUAUUUUUUUCCCUAAAACAUUUCAACUUAUUUUUCUCGAGUUCUGUUGGUUGCUAAAUCACAUUAAAGUUAAAAAAA